rnacentral:rRNA from 1 species
AACGCUGGCGGCAGGCCUAACACAUGCAAGUCGAGCGCCGUAGCAAUACGGAGCGGCAGACGGGAGAGUAACACGUGGGAACGUACCCUUUGGUUCGGAACAACCCAGGGAAACUUGGGCUAAUACCGGAUAAGCCCUUACGGGGAAAGAUUCAUCGCCGAAGGAUCGGCCCGCGUCUGAUUAGCUAGUUGGUGGGGUAAUGGCCCACCAAGGCGACGAUCAGUAGCUGGUCUGAGAGGAUGAUCAGCCUCACUGGGACUGAGACACGGCCCAGACUCCUACGGGAGGCAGCAGUGGGGAAUAUUGGACAAUGGGCGCAAGCCUGAUCCAGCCAUGCCGCGUGGGUGAUGAAGGCCCUAGGGUUGUAAAGCCCUUUCGGCGGGGAAGAUAAUGACGGUACCCGCAGAAGAAGCCCCGGCUAACUUCGUGCCAGCAGCCGCGGUAAUACGAAGGGGGCUAGCGUUGCUCGGAAUCACUGGGCGUAAAGCGCACGUANGCGGAUUGUUAAGUCAGGGGUGAAAUCCUGGAGCUCAACUCCAGAACUGCCUUUGAUACUGGCGAUCUUGAGUCCGGGAGAGGUGAGUGGAACUGC